rnacentral:tRNA from 1 species
GCUCCUGUAGUUCAACGGAUAGAACGAGGGACUCCUAAGCCCUAAAUAGAAGUUCAAUUCUUCUCAGGAGCACAA